UACGUAGGGUGCAAGCGUUGUCCGGAAUUAUUGGGCGUAAAGAGCUCGUAGGCGGUUUGUUGCGUCGGCUGUGAAAUCCCGAGGCUCAACCUCGGGUCUGCAGUCGAUACGAGCAAACUAGAGUGUUGCAGGGGAGACUGGAAUUCCUGGUGUAGCGGUGAAAUGCGCAGAUAUCAGGAGGAACACCGGUGGCGAAGGCGGGUCUCUGGGCAACAACUGACGCUGGAGGAGCGAAAGCCGUGGGGAGCG
rnacentral:rRNA from 1 species